rnacentral:rRNA from 1 species
CACCUCUAGCAUUUCAAGUAUUAGAGGCAUUGCCUGCCCAGUGACUAUAGUUUAACGGCCGCGGUAUCCUGACCGUGCAAAGGUAGCAUAAUCAUUUGUUCCUUAAUUAGGGACUAGUAUGAACGGCUAGACGAGGGUUCAACUGUCUCUUAUUUUUAAUCAGUGAAAUUGACCUUCCAGUGAAGAGGCUGGAAUACAAUAAUAAGACGAGAAGACCCUAUGGAGCUUAAAUUAAUAAGCUUAAUUAUUACUUUAACACCCUAAUGGAACAAAACAAAAAAUAUAAGCUUAAAAUUUUGGUUGGGGUGACCUCGGAGAACAAAAAAUCCUCCGAAAGAUUAUAACAUAGACCUACAAGUCAAAGUAACUUAAUUAUCCAAUUGACCCAAAAAAUUGAUCAACGGACCAAGUUACCCUAGGGAUAACAGCGCAAUCCUAUUUAAGAGUCCAUAUCGACAAUAGGGUUUACGACCUCGAUGUUGGAUCAGGACAUCCCAAUGGUGCAGAAGCUAUUAAUGGUUCGUUUGUUCAACGAUUAAAG